AUGCGCCUUGGCCGAUUUAGCUCGGGAAUAUGCUACAAUCGACAAUCUGUCUCCUAAUCCUGUCUAAUGGGCAGGUCAGCCCUGGAGGGAAGAAUUGUCUGUAAAGAAGUAAGAAAGAACAUAGCAUCUGAUUGUUUUUAAAUUACUUCUUAUGACUUAUGGUUUAACAGAAUAAACGAUGUCGUGGAGAUUUUUCCAAUUUGCGUUACCCACUUCAGUCAGCAGAUGGCGACGUGCGUCUUUCAGGUGAUGCUUCCUGCGUGACGUCAAAUCUAGUGGACGGAACUGGAGGCUUCUUCAACAGCUACAAAACGCUUCUGAUUCAACCAACGCGGUGGUUUCCUGGCGAACAUAAAACCGAACACUUUAGACUAUUCUUGUGUGUAUUAAUGUCAGUGUUUGCUUGUUAAAUUAAAUGCGCCAAUUUGUUAAAUUGAGAACGUUACUGCACUAGGCUAAUCGCUAAUGCUAGCUAGCUAGCUAACAUCCCGACCUUGAGCUCACUAAGAAAUAUGGAGAAAGAGAAAGAAGCUCUAGGGCUGAACAUCAUCGUAAAAGAAGAAGAGGAAGAAGCUUUAAGAAUAAAAAAGGAAGAAGAGGAGACUGUCACAUUAGAAGAAGAAGAGGAGACUGUCACAGAAGAAGAAGAGUUGGAUAUUACAGUGAAAGAAGAGAAAGAACCUUUUGGAGUAAACGACGAAGAGGAGAUAGGUUUCAGAAUCAAAAAGGAGGAAGAUGCCAUAACAUUAAAAGAAGAAAAUGUAGUGAAAGAAGAGAAAGAACCUCUUGGAGUAAAAGAGGAAGAUGAGGCUUUCUCAAUUAAAGAGGAAGAUGAGGAGGAGACUGAAGAUCCUGUUAACACCAGAGAGAGACAUGACUAUUGUGGAUCCUCUGGGGAGCCUCAACAACAUCCUGAUGCUGACGAGGCAGAGAAGAGUCUCUCCAGAUCAGAACACCAGAUGGUACAGCUUGGUCUGGUCUAGCAUACAGCUUGCUCUAUCGGGGUCUGGGCUGGGUUUCUGUAAAGCACUUUAUGACAACCGUGACAUCAGCAUCUAUAAUGACAUGUGUCUGUGUCCCCUCUUUAUGGUUACCAGGACAACGCUAGCCCUUCCUCCCUGCCGCAGUCCCCGUGUCGUUCCUCUCCCGGUAGCACCUUACUGCGAGAGGAGAAUAAGAAGAAAGGAUCCGUUUUGACUCAUCAAAGUAAGUGAUUUAGUUUAGUUUGAACAAAUACAACAGAUCUGCCCACUGGUAUCUGUUACCAGGACCACCAGCAGAGUUCUGUUAGUUGACAGGAAGAUAGACUGGUGGAUAUGGAUGUUAUGAAUAUCAUAACACUGAAAAAGGAUUCUGCCAAUGAAAAGAGAGAAACCAAUAGACCAUAUAAAACCUUGAUGAAAGUUAGAUUUAGAGAGAAACCAAUAGACCAUAUAAAACCUUGAUGAAAGUUAGCUUUAGAGAGAAAGUUUCAAGAUGAUCCAUUGUAAGGUUCAUGUUUUACAAAACCUUUUUCUCAAAACAUUACGGAUGUUACAUUGCCUGUCCCAGUCAACCCCCCUAUCUUUACUAGACUGUAGAACAGGCAAACUAAACUCAAGACCCUUCAAGUUGGUCUGUAUUGCUUCAUUAACAUCUCAUCUUCAGAACUUCGAUCGGGGACAGCUGUGUGUUAAAAACAUGGACAAAACUCUUUGGCCUCCUCUGUAAUGAACGCUCUCUAAGCCGUUUCUAUCAGCCAGACUUGGCCUCCUCUGUAAUGGUCAAAUGAAUGUCAUUUCCUACUUGAUCAGGUCAAAUAAAGCCUGAACUCCAACAUUUUUCAAAUAUUGCACCAUUGCUUGGGCUCCUGAGUGGCACAGCGGUCGAAGGCACUGCAUCUCCGUGCUAGAGGCGUCACUACAGACCCUGGUUCGAUUCCAGGCUGUAUCGCAGCGGUCUAAGGCACCGCAUCUCCGUGCUAGAGGCGUCACUACAGACCCUGGUUCGAUUCCGGGCUGUAUCGCAGCGGUCUAAGGCACCGCAUCUCCGUGCUAGAGGCGUCACUACAGACCCUGGUUCGAUUCCAGGCUGUAUCGCAGCGGUCUAAGGCACCGCAUCUCCGUGCUAGAGGCGUCACUACAGACCCUGGUUCGAUUCCAGGCUGUAUCGCAGCGGUCUAAGGCACCGCAUCUCCGUGCUAGAGGCGUCACUACAGACCCUGGUUCGAUUCCAGGCUGUAUCACAACCGGCUGUAUUUGGGAGUCCCAUAGGGCGGAACAUAAUUGGCCCAGCGUUGGCCAGGGUAGGUCAGUCAUUGUAAAUAAUAAUUUGUUCUUAGCUGACUUGCUUAGUUACAUAAAGGUAAAAUAACAUCUUCCAAAACAUUUCAUAUUAAAAUAUAUUUUAUUUUGGUAUUAAAACAUAUUUUGGUAUUAAAACAUAUUUUGGUAUUAAAACAUAUUUUGGUGUCCACAUAUGUCUUCGGUUUACAGUUGAACAAAACAAUCUGAAUAAUUGACUAAAUGUUAUUUAUUCCACAAAGAAAUUCCAAUAUUAUUGGCACCUUCUAGAAGCAGUUAGAAAUUAUGAGAUUUCAAGCAGCUGAUUCUCCUUUACUUUGGAAUUGAACUCACCUCUGGUGACCCUUACUGCUAGGACUAACUGGUGGUGUUAAAUAGCUGUAUGUAAUGUACCCUUACUGCUGGACUAACUGGUGGUGUUAAAUAGCUGUAUGUAAUGUAAUGUACCCUUACUGCUGGACUAACUGGUGGUGUUAAAUAGCUNNNNNNNNNNCGGUUUACAGUUGAACAAAACAAUCUGAAUAAUUGACUAAAUGUUAUUUAUUCCACAAAGAAAUUCCAAUAUUAUUGGCACCUUCUAGAAGCAGUUAGAAAUUAUGAGAUUUCAAGCAGCUGAUUCUCCUUUACUUUGGAAUUGAACUCACCUCUGGUGACCCUUACUGCUAGGACUAACUGGUGGUGUUAAAUAGCUGUAUGUAAUGUACCCUUACUGCUGGACUAACUGGUGGUGUUAAAUAGCUGUAUGUAAUGUANNNNNNNNNNNGCAUCUCCGUGCUAGAGGCGUCACUACAGACCCUGGUUCGAUUCCAGGCUGUAUCGCAGCGGUCUAAGGCACCGCAUCUCCGUGCUAGAGGCGUCACUACAGACCCUGGUUCGAUUCCAGGCUGUAUCGCAGCGGUCUAAGGCACCGCAUCUCCGUGCUAGAGGCGUCACUACAGACCCUGGUUCGAUUCCAGGCUGUAUCGCAGCGGUCUAAGGCACCGCAUCUCCGUGCUAGAGGCGUCACUACAGACCCUGGUUCGAUUCCAGGCUGUAUCACAACCGGCUGUAUUUGGGAGUCCCAUAGGGCGGAAC
rnacentral:lncRNA from 13 species